rnacentral:rRNA from 1 species
UACGUAGGGCGCAAGCGUUGUCCGGAAUUAUUGGGCGUAAAGAGCUCGUAGGCGGUUUGUCGCGUCUGCUGUGAAAUCCCGAGGCUCAACCUCGGGCUUGCAGUGGGUACGGGCAGACUAGAGUACUGCAGGGGAGACUGGAAUUCCUGGUGUAGCGGUGGAAUGCGCAGAUAUCAGGAGGAACACCGGUGGCGAAGGCGGGUCUCUGGGCAGUAACUGACGCUGAGGAGCGAAAGCGUGGGGGAGCGAACAGG